GCCGCCGUGGCUUAGUCCGGUAUAGCGGCUGAUUCGUAAUCAGCAGGCCGAGGGUUCAAAUCCCUCCGGCGGCU
rfam:Methanosalsum zhilinae DSM 4017, complete genome.